rnacentral:rRNA from 1 species
GAGCCGGAGGGAAACCGAGUCUUAAUUGGGCGUUAAGUUGCAGGGUAUAGACCCGAAACCCGGUGAUCUAGCCAUGGGCAGGUUGAAGGUUGGGUAACACUAACUGGAGGACCGAACCGACUAAUGUUGAAAAAUUAGCGGAUGACCUGUGGCUGGGGGUGAAAGGCCAAUCAAACCGGGAGAUAGCUGGUUCUCCCCGAAAGCUAUUUAGGUAGCGCCUCGUGAAUUCAUCUCCGGGGGUAGAGCACUGUUUCGGCUAGGGGGCCAUCCCGGCUUACCAACCCGAUGCAAACUGCGAAUACCGGAGAAUGUUAUCACGGGAGACACACGGCGGGUGCUAACGUCCGUCGUGAAGAGGGAAACAACCCAGACCGCCAGCUAAGGUCCCAAAGUCAUGGUUAAGUGGGAAACGAUGUGGGAAGGCCCAGACAGCCAGGAUGUUGGCUUAGAAGCAGCCAUCAUUUAAAGAAAGCGUAAUAGCUCACUGGUCGAGUCGGCCUGCGCGGAAGAUGUAACGGGGCUAAACCAUGCACCGAAGCUGCGGCAGCGAACGUAUCACCCAAGACAACUUUACGGAGUUGACGAUUGACGGAGCGAAGCGACGUCAAAGCGUUCAUUAAAGUCGAGUUGGCUUAGGGAUACGUUCGUUGGGUAGGGGAGCGUUCUGUAAGCCUGUGAAGGUGUGUCGUGAGGCAUGCUGGAGGUAUCAGAAGUGCGAAUGCUGACAUAAGUAACGAUAAAGCGGGUGAAAAGCCCGCUCGCCGGAAGACCAAGGGUUCCUGUCCAACGUUAAUCGGGGCAGGGUGAGUCGACCCCUAAGGCGAGGCCGAAAGGCGUAGUCGAUGGGAAACGGGUUAAUAUUCCCGUACUUGGUGUUACUGCGAAGGGGGGACGGAGAAGGCUAUGUUGGCCGGGCGACGGUUGUCCCGGUUUAAGCGUGUAGGUGUGUGUUCCAGGUAAAUCCGGUU